UACGGGAGGCAGCAGUGGGGAAUAUUGCACAAUGGGCGCAAGCCUGAUGCAGCCAUGCCGCGUGUAUGAAAAAGGCCUUCGGGUUGUAAAGUACUUUCAGUCGUGAGGAAGGUGUUAAGGUUAAUAACCUUAGCAAUUGACGUUAGCGACAGAAGAAGCACCGGCUAACUCCGUGCCAGCAGCCGCGGUAAUACGGAGGGUGCGAGCGUUAAUCGGAAUUACUGGGCGUAAAGGGCACGCAGGCGGUUAAUUAAGUUGGAUGUGAAAUCCCCGGGCUUAACCUGGGAAUGGCAUUCAAGCUGGUUAGCUAGAGUCUUGUAGAGGGGGUAGAAUUCCAUGUGUAGCGGUGAAAUGCGUAGAGAUGUGGAGGAAUACCGGUGGCGAAGGCGGCCCCUGGACAAAGGACUGACGCUCAUGUGCGAAAGCGUGGGGAGCAAAC
rnacentral:rRNA from 1 species